rnacentral:rRNA from 1 species
CCUACGGGAGGCAGCAGUGGGGAAUAUUGGGCAAUGGGCGCAAGCCUGACCCAGCAACGCCGCGUGAAGGAAGAAGGCUUUCGGGUUGUAAACUUCUUUUCUCAGGGACGAAGAAAGUGACGGUACCUGCGGAAUAAGCCACGGCUAACUACGUGCCAGCAGCCGCUGUAAUACGUAGGUGGCAAGCGUUAUCCGGAUUUGUUGGUUGUAAAGGGCGUGUAGGCGGGAGCGCAAGUCAGAUGUGAAAACGCAGGGCUCAACCCUGAGCCUGCAUUUGAAACUGUGUGUCUUGAGGGCUGGAGAGGCAAUCGGAAGUCCGGGUGUAGCGGUGAAAUGCGUAGAUAUACGGAGGAACACCAGUGGCGAAGGCGGAUUGCUGGACAGUAACUGACGCUGAGGCGCGAAAGCGUGGGGAGCAAACAGGAUUAGAUACCCCUGUAGUC